rnacentral:rRNA from 1 species
GAUGAACGCUGGCGGCGUGCCUAAUACAUGCAAGUCGAGCGAAUGGAUUGAGAGCUUGCUCUUAUGAAGUUAGCGGCGGACGGGUGAGUAACACGUGAGUAACCUGCCCAUAAGACUGGGAUAACUCCGGGAAACCGGGGCUAAUACCGGAUAACAUUUUGAACCGCAUGGUUCGAAAUUGAAAGGCGGCUUCGGCUGUCACUUAUGGAUGGACCCGCGUCGCAUUAGCUAGUUGUGGAGGUACCGGCUAACCAAGGGAACGAUGCGUAGCCGACCUGAGAGGGUGAUCGGCCACACUGGGACUGAGACACGGCCCAGACUCCUACGGGAGGCAGCAGUAGGGAAUCUUCCGCAAUGGACGAGAGUCUGACGGAGCAACGCCGCGUGAGUGAUGAAGGCUUUCGGGUCGUAAAACUCUGUUGUUAGGGAAGAACAAGUGCUAGUUGAAUAAGCUGGCACCUUGACGGUACCUAACCAGAAAGCCACGGCUAACUACGUGCCAGCCGCCGCCGUAA